CAGGGAGACAACACAAUGAUUUUGAUGCCUGAGUGCUUUUAUUCUUAGGCCGAAAUCCUGUCACCUUAGGUCGAUCGGUACCUCAGCUUUGAAGUUAAGGAUCAGCAGCAAUGUUGAUUGCUUGAUGGAGAUUUUCAGUUCCUAAACUUUGUCUAGGUCACACCCCAAAAGGGAUGAGACUCCUGGGCCAUUAGCUCAGGUGGUUAGAGCGCACCCCUGAUAAGGGUGAGGUCCCUGGUUCAAGUCCAGGAUGGCCCAUAUCUCUAUGUUGGGGGUAUAGCUCAGUUGGUAGAGCGCCUGCUUUGCAAGCAGGAUGUCAGCGGUUCGAGUCCGCUUACCUCCACUGAUUACCACCUCUUCCAUAAUCGGUAGAAAGGAAAUGUUUUGAGUUGUGAUCAAAUUCUGAAAGAAUCUAGCUUCCUAAUGAAAUCAUUAAGAUGCUGGACUCAUUGAAUUAAUUUCAUUGUUUUCAGAGAACCUUGACAACUGCAUAGAUUAUUUUUAAAGACAAUAAGCAUCUUUAAUGAUGCAGAUUUAUUAUUUGUGCGAAUGCAUUAAUAACAAUUCUAUCAAGCUGAUGCUUCAAUUUUUGAAGUUAUU
rnacentral:tRNA from 1 species